AUAAGACAUGUCCAUGAGGGAGAAGUAGUUGACCACGUCUUGGAAAUCUCUCAUACCCAAAGAAUCGAAAGAGGCAUUGUGUUCUGAAUGCUAGACACCAUUCAGAAUCUCAUUAAAGUCACCAAAGACAAUCCAUGGCGACUUUUGAAUACGAGGUGAGUCUUGGUGAGCUUUGGUGUCUCUCCAAAGUUCUUUCCUCUCCUCUGCCAAGUUGUGACCGUAAAAAAAUGAGCAGAAAAUCUCCUCUACCAUACCAUCCAAAAGAAUAGAACAUGUAAUCAUCUGAGCGCUUUGGAAACAUGGAGUGACUCUCACCUUCGGGCUCCAAACUAUCCAGAAUCUUCCCAGACGAUGAAGAUCAUAAUUAGUGAUAGAAGACUAGUUUGGGAAAACUGUAUCCAAUAUUCUCCUAGCUUUAUUUUCUUUACCCGGGUUUCAAUCAGACAACCAAUUUGAAAGCCAUACUUCCUCACCCAAUCUUUAACCACACUUUGUUUUGACAAUUUGUUGAAGCCCCUUAUAUUCCAAAAAAAAAAAAAAUCCAGACAUUAUUGAUGAUGACGAGAUUUCAUUUUAUUCAGACCGCUGGGACCGACAUCUUGCGCUUUCUGAACGGACUUAUCACCCAAGACCGUAUGCUUUAGUUUUGAAUCUCUAGGAAGAGACUGGCGUGGUAUCACAACUGCCUUCGCUUUUGCAUCUGCCUCCGCAGGAGAGCUGAAAUCUCCUUUACUCAGAUCAGAAUCUUCCUUCUCAUUUUCAAUUACUUCCCCC
rnacentral:lncRNA from 1 species